ACGUGGAAUUGGGGUUAGAUGUUAUCUUUGACAAAAUAAACACCCUGAGGAUGGUACCAUGGAUAGACCCGCCGUCGUGGACCUCUCCACUUUUGAAUUGUAUUCGAUGACUGACUCAAAAGUACAGAAAAGCUAGAUGACAAAACAAAGUGCACCAAGGCACAUUAUCAUACAACAGUCAACCGGUAAGUGCUUUCUUUCAUGAAUGUGUUCUGCACUCAAUAAUGUGGGGAGUUAGAAUACAUUUACGAAACUAAUUUUUAUAAAAAUAUGGCGUAUUAGAAUGCUUUAAUUCUUUACAGCAAAAGAAGAAUACUUUUAGUGUGAGUUGUAAAUAUGUGAGAUAAGGGCUUCUUACAAUAUAUAUUAUAUAGGAAGACCACUUAUUUGAUAAAUGAUCAAACACUCCAAAAGUUCUCCAGAAUUUAACCAUGCUAAGGUAAUUUUAUUUCCAUCAGCGUGAGAGGAAUGAGGAUUUUUCGAAAGAGGAACAACACGAUGAUCAUCUCUGUAAAGGUGUCAACCAAAGUGUCAACAAUAAGUGCAGAAAAAAACUAUGAAUCAGAAGAAUCUGAGGAAAGAAGUGUUGUGAUUGUAUUGACUCGACUGUUGGUUUAUGAUCCAUCUGACCUCCCAAUCAUCAUGUCAUCUGACACUUAAGAAGAUAUUAUUUAACAUCAACCCUUUUUCAGAGCUUGUGCCAGGGACUAAGGGUGUUUGUUAUCGAUAUCCAGAUUAUCUUAAGGUAUUUAUUAAUCGGUCUUACCUAGUUUAACCUUAAUCUUGUGAAGUUUGUAGUCAUCCAAAUUACUCAUCCACUUGGUCAAAAGUCCAUCCACAUCUAGUCUUGAGAAAUGUUUUUUCUGUUAAUAGUGGAUACCUCCCUCACCCCUAAUAAAGAUGUUUAUCUGGAAUAUGUUACAUGAUGCAAAAAUAAAAUCCCACUGAUGGCAAAGAUAAGGGAAAAUAAAGGUGAAUGCAGAAAACAAGUUUGAGCUUAAUAUACAAAAAAAAAA
rnacentral:lncRNA from 1 species